CUUUCAACAACGGAUCUCUUGGUUCUGGCAUCGAUGAAGAACGCAGCGAAAUGCGAUAAGUAGUGUGAAUUGCAGAAUUCAGUGAAUCAUCGAAUCUUUGAACGCACAUUGCGCCCUUUGGUAUUCCAAAGGGCAUGCCUGUUCGAGCGUCAUUU
rnacentral:rRNA from 1 species